rnacentral:rRNA from 1 species
UACGUAGGGUGCAAGCGUUGUCCGGAAUUAUUGGGCGUAAAGCGCGCGUAGGCGGCCAGAUAAGUCCGGUGUGAAAGCCACAGGCUCAACCUGUGAAUGCCGCUGGAAACUGUCUGGCUAGAGUCCGGGAGGGGCGAGUGGAAUUCCUGGUGUAGCGGUGAAAUGCGCAGAUAUCAGGAAGAACACCGACGGCGAAGGCAGCUCGCUGGGACGGUACUGACGCUGAGGCGCGAAAGCGUGGGGAGCGAACAGG